CUUUUCCUGUUCCGGGAAGGCUCGACGGAAUGCGAGUUGGAGCAUCUCUGAGUAACAUUUUAGGUUGGAAGACGUGAUUGAUCUACCUGGCGCCGCUAAAUGAACCCUGUUUUAGAUAUUGAGACCAGGCGAGAGAGAUAUUUUAGAAGUGAUUUGUCUUUGUCUGCGCCAACUCAGGAAGCUUAAACUGCCCAAGGAGCUGCUGAUACAGUUCUACAGAGGAAUUAUUGAGUUUGUCAUCUGCACCUCUAUAACAGACAACUCACUUCUCAAAUCUCUCUCAUUUUUAUAUAUUUUAGAAGUGAUUUGUCUUUGUCUGCUUCCUAGGGCUGAGAGAGAGUGACUGGCCCAUUAUGCCUGAAACAGGAUUAGAACUCAAGCCCUCUUUAUGGCUCAUUUGGAGAGACUUGUUUCUUCAUGCUCAGGAUCACCAACAUGAUCACCGAUGCCCAAUGAUGGAUAUGGCACAAGAAGAAGAAAGAAUAACAGAUCCGUCUUCUGUGCAUUUUAUACUGGAUUCCGAUGGGCUGGUCGUCUGGUAGUACUCUUAACACCACAAUUUAUCAUUAUCCAGAUAUGUGAACUUACCUUGACAGUUUCUUCCUCUGACCACCUGGUAUCCAUCUGGACACGCGCAGGAGUAUCUUCCUGGCUCAUUGACACACUGAUAUUGGCACAGGAAGUUAGAAGCUCUACAUUCAUCAACAUCUGCAAAACAGAGGCACUUUCUAAGCCAAUUAUUGAAGCUUCAGCAUCUGCUUUUACACUGAACUUGUUCCUUGCCUAUUAUCUUUGGUACUUGGGCUGCAAAAUACAAAUAGCUCUUUCUUCCUUUCUACUUUCUGACAGUUUUUGGAGGGAAAUUGCAUCUGCCUGCAAGAAUGAGGUGCAUGAACAGGAAUAGAAUCACUACUACCAAGUAGAAAGCAAAAAAAAAAAAAAAA